CCAGACUCCUACGGGAGGCAGCAGUGAGGAAUAUUGGUCAAUGGGCGGAAGCCUGAACCAGCCAAGUCGCGUGAGGGAAGAAGGCCCUGCGGGUCGCAGACCUCUUUGGACGGGGAGCAAGGCCGCCGACGUGUCGGCGGAAGGAGAGUACCCGUAGAACAAGCAUCGGCUAACUCCGUGCCAGCAGCCGCGGUAAUACGGAGGAUGCGAGCGUUAUCCGGAUUUAUUGGGUUUAAAGGGUGCGUAGGCGGACGCUUAAGUCAGCGGUAAAAUUGCGGGGCUCAACCUCGUCGAGCCGUUGAAACUGGGUGCCUUGAGUGGGCGAGAAGUACGCGGAAUGCGUGGUGUAGCGGUGAAAUGCAUAGAUAUCACGCAGAACUCCGAUUGCGAAGGCAGCGUACCGGCGCCCAACUGACGCUGAAGCACGAAGGCGUGGGUAUCGAACAGGAUUAGAUACCCGAGUAC
rnacentral:rRNA from 1 species